rnacentral:rRNA from 1 species
GACGAACGCUGGCGGCGUGCUUAACACAUGCAAGUCGAACGGUGAAGCUCCAGCUUGCUGGCGUGGAUCAGUGGCGAACGGGUGAGUAACACGUGAGCAACCUGCCCCAGACUCUGGAAUAAGCGCUGGAAACGGCGUCUAAUACUGGAUACGAGAUCAAGCCGCAUGGUUAUGGUCUGGAAAGUUUUUCGGUUUGGGAUGGGCGCGCGGCCUAUCAGCUUGUUGGUGAGGUAAUGGCUCACCAAGGCGACGACGGGUAGCCGGCCUGAGAGGGCGACCGGCCACACUGGGACUGAGACACGGCCCAGACUCCUACGGGAGGCAGCAGUGGGGAAUAUUGCACAAUGGGCGAAAGCCUGAUGCAGCGACGCCGCGUGAGGGAUGACGGCCUUCGGGUUGUAAACCUCUUUCAGCAGGGAAGAAGCGAAAGUGACGGUACCUGCAGAAGAAGCACCGGCUAACUACGUG